UGGGGAAUAUUGCACAAUGGGCGAAAGCCUGAUGCAGCGACGCCGCGUGAGGGAUGACGGCCUUCGGGUUGUAAACCUCUUUCAGUAGGGACGAAGCGCAAGUGACGGUACCUGCAGAAGAAGCACCGGCUAACUACGUGCCAGCAGCCGCGGUAAUACGUAGGGUGCGUGCGUUGUCCGGAAUUACUGGGCGUAAAGAGCUCGUAGGCGGUUUGUCACGUCGUCUGUGAAAUCCUAGGGCUUAACCCUGGACGUGCAGGCGAUACGGGCUGACUUGAGUACUACAGGGGAGACUGGAAUUUCUGGUGUAGCGGUGGAAUGCACAGAUAUCAGGAAGAACACCGAUGGCGAAGGCAGGUCUCUGGGUAGUAACUGACGCUGAGGAGCGAAAGCAUGGGUAGCGAACAGG
rnacentral:rRNA from 1 species